GACGAACCGUGCGAACGUUGUUCGGAUUCACUGGGCUUAAAGGGCGCGUAGGCGGCUCGCCAAGUCAGGGGUGAAAUCUUUCGGCUCAACCGGAAAAGUGCUUCUGAUACUGGCGGGCUGGAGGAGGGUAGGGGCGGAUGGAACUUCCGGUGGAGCGGUGAAAUGCGUAGAUAUCGGAAGGAACGCCGGUGGCGAAAGCGAUCCGCUGGACCCUCCCUGACGCUGAGGCGCGAAAGCUAGGGGAGCAAACAGG
rnacentral:rRNA from 1 species